ACCGCAGUAGCCCAGUUGGUAGAGGCUUUGCCAUUACAGAUGGUGAAAGUCGCGGGUUCAAAAACUGCCUGCGGUG